GAUGAACGCUGGCGGCGUGCCUAAUACAUGCAAGUCGAGCGAACAGACGAUGAUCUUGCUCCUCUCACGUUUGCGGCGCACGGGUGAGUAACAUGUGUAAACCGUACCUAUAAGACUGGGAUAAUUUCGGGAAACCGGAGCUAAUACCGUAUAAUAUAUUGAACCGCAUGGUUGAAUAGUGAAAUUCGGUUUUGCUGUCACUUCUAGAUGGAUCCGCGCGGUAUUAGCUGGUUGGUAAGGUAACGGGCUAUCAAGGCGACGAUGCGUCGGCGACCUGUGAGGGGGAUCGGCGGCACUGGAACUGGGACACGGUCCAGGCGACUGCGGGAGGCAGCAGUAGGGAAUCUUCCGCAGUGGGCGAGAGCCUGACAGAGCAACGCCGCGUGAGUGAUGAAGGUCUUCGGAUCGUAAAGCUCUGUUAUUAGGGAAAAACAGAUGUGGAAGUAACUGUACACGUCUUGACGGUAACUAAUCAGAAAGCAACGGCUAACUACGUG
rnacentral:rRNA from 1 species